rnacentral:piRNA from 1 species
UUUGCACAACAACAAACAGGAUAUCCAC